rnacentral:rRNA from 1 species
UAGAGGGCAACCCUCCACACUGGAACUGAGACAAGGACCAGACUUCUACGGAAGGCAGCAGUGAGGAAUAUUGGUCAAUGGAGGAAACUCUGAACCAGCUAUGCCGCGUGUAGGAUGACAGUCUUUUAGAUUGUAAACUACUUUUACAUAGAAAUAAAAGUUACUACGGGAUGGUAACCUGAAGGUACUAUGAGAAUAAGUGUCGGCUAAUUUCGUGCCAGCAGCCGCGGUAAAACGAAAGACACAAGCGUUAUCCGGAUUUAUUGGGUUUAAAGGGUGUGUAGGUUGUUUAUUAAGUCAGUAGUGAAAGCUUACAGCUUAACUGUAAAAUUGCUAUUGAUACUGAUAAUCUUGAGUCAGAUUGGAGCGUCUGGAAUGUAUGGUGUAGCGGUGAAAUGCAUAGAUAUCAUACAGAACACCAAUAGCGAAGGCAGGAUGCUAAAUCUUCACUGACACUGAGGCACGAAAGCGUGGGUAGCAAACAGGAUUAGAUACCCUGGUAGUCCACGCCCUAAACUAUGAUCACUAGCUAUUGGAAAAAUUAUAUUCAGUGGCCAAGCUAAAGCGAUAAGUGAUCCACCUGGGAAGUACGAUCGCAAGAUUGAAACUCAAAGGAAUUGACGGGGUUUCGCACAAGCGGUGGAGCAUGUGGUUUAAUUCGAUGAUACGCGAGGAACCUUACCAAGGUUUAAAUGUAUUACGAAUAAGCUGGAAACAACUUAGUCUAUAAGACGUAAUACAAGGUGCUGCAUGGUUGUCUUCAGUUCGUGCUGUGAAGUGUUUGGUUAAGUCCUAUAACGAGCGCAACCCUUAUUGUUAGUUGCCAUCGGGUAAAGCCGGGGACUCUAACAAAACUGCCGGUGUAAAUCGAGAGGAAGGUGGGGAUAAUGUCAA